rnacentral:rRNA from 1 species
GAUGAACGCUGGCGGCGUGCCUAAUACAUGCAAGUCGAGCGAACAGACGAGGAGCUUGCUCCUCUGACGUUAGCGGCGGGCGGGUGAGUAACACGUGGAUAACCUACCUAUAAGACUGGGAUAACUUCGGGAAACCGGAGCUAAUACCGGAUAAUAUAUUGAACCGCAUGGUUCAAUAGUGAAAGACGGUUUUGCUGUCACUUAUAGAUGUAUCCGCGCCGCAUUAGCUAGUUGGUAAGGUAACGGCUUACCAAGGCAACGAUGCGUAGCCGACCUGAGAGGGUGAUCGGCCACACUGGAACUGAGACACGGUCCAGACUCCUACGGGAGGCAGCAGUAGGGAAUCUUCCGCAAUGGGCGAAAGCCUGACGGAGCAACGCCGCGUGAGUGAUGAAGGUCUUCGGAUCGUAAAACUCUGUUAUCAGGGAAGAAAAAAUGUGUAAGUAACUAUGCACGUCUUGACGGUACCUAAUCAGAAAGCCACGGCUAACUACGUG